CUCCUCCUUUUGUUCUUAUAAUCACUUCUGUAAGUACUCAUUUCUUGCAUGUAAUGUACUCUAAUACAGUAUUUUCUUGUUUUCUCUGUGUUUCUCUAGACAAUAUGAGGAGGAAGCCUGAAAAAAAACACAUAUCAAAUGAAACUAAUCAAAGUGCUUGCAUAAAUGUAAUAGUUUUUCACAUUUUAAUAAAUUUCUGAUUUUAACAAAUCAUUGGAAUUUAUUAUGCAGUAAGGUGUGUUAUUGUCUCAUCUAGGGAUCAUAGACUUACACAGCUAAAUCAAGAAAACACACUCUUUCAGAGGAGUGCUGAAUUGUGCAGAGGAUUAAGAAAUGAUCCCAUCACACUUCAGUAUUUUCUGUAGUGACAGAUGUAAAGAGAUACUGGACUAUAGUAUCAGCAAACUACUCCGAGAAGCACAAGGACCCACACCCACAAAAGAAGGUAUUCAUCUGAUCAGGGGUCUGGAAUACCUAGUCCUGGUUUUCAUGCCUCUGGUGGGAUGAAACAGAGCCAUCACUUGGACACAGCUGGGAUCACCAUCUUUGUUUGAGACAAAAUGGGGAUUAGCACUGGAAGCCAUUCCCUGAACAUAAAGUAUCUGUGACAAACUCACUGUUUUCAAUGAACAUCUAGCAAGUGGCAGUGGUGUUACCCUUCCUCUAAUACAUCAUAAUUAGACCACUUCUGCACAAAGAGGACAACCUGGCUUUCAGAGAGUAAAGAAAACAUCCUCAGGGUCCACCAAAGUUUGGGUUUGCUUAUAAAAUACACAAAAGUAAUAGGCAUGGAAGAAAGACUGGUGCUAACUUUAAACAAAUUCGUUUAGUAAUUAACAAGAAGCAUCCUGGAUUCCUUCCAGUCCCACACUAAGAUAAAAACAGACACUUGAAGACAGGCCUCUGUGACAAAACGAACCAUUCCUAACUAUUAGUGAUGUACUUUACAGAGUGCUGAAGAUUAAAUGCAUAUGAGGACUGCCACAAUUGUAGGCUUCAAAGCUAAACAAUCAUAUUGUCAUACAUGAAUUCAUCUGCUAAUUAUGCUUAAUCGAAGACAGAAAAUGCAUGGAUGCCAUUACAUGAAAACAAAUAUACGCAAGGCAUAAAUCAAUUCAGAAACAACCCUGGCUGAAUCUUUGGAUCUGGAUACUUUGCAACAAGCUUAAGCCUUCUCUUCAAGCCCUGGAGCAGUGGUGGGCUUGGGAUUUGCUAACCAAGCUGAGCUGUCUGCAGGGAGCAGGGCAAGGCUCUUCUGAGCUGCGAAGCUGGGCCAGGAGCAGCAGAGCUGUAUCGGGCUGAUGCUGCAGCCCAGCUAAUGAGUCUUCCCUGUGCUGGCAGCAGGCCAAGCUCGAAGCUGUGCUGUUUUGCACAGUGGAGACAAGAUUUUAUUGGCACUAUUGAAGCCAAUAGGAAAAAGCGUGUAUAAAUUAGAUGGGUAAGAGACUUUCUGGGGUUGUAAUUACUUGAAGGGUGUAACUUUCAAGAGGCUGCAAUGCAGCCUUAGCGUGAACAGGGUAAAUUAGGAUGUCGUAAAUACUGAUCUAAGCUACCUGCUGGGCCAGCUUCUGUUCUCGUUUAUAACCAUCUGACCCCACCAAAGUGCAGGUGAAUUUGACCCACUCUUUCUGUGUGUAUUAAAAUACAUUAUAACUCAACCAGCUCUGAAUAGAAUGAAUCUACAUACAUAAUUAAUCUUUAUUUUACAUACAUAAUGGAGAAAAGAUAAAGGAAUUCUCUCUAAAAGCUUGAGCUUGUCCUUGAUGACAGGAGAAAUUGAUCUAAACCUCAUACAUCAUGAAUUGUUUGACAGCAGCACAAGCUUUGAAUAAUUACAAUGACUUUUGCCAAAUUAUUUCAUAUUUAUUUCAAAGUAGCUGUGAAUACAGAUAUGAUUCACAGUGUUGCAGUAAGGUUUCUUUUGCUGUACACAAAACUGUCUACAAUAUGCAUAUUGUGACAAUUGUGAACUGGGCAGUAAUUAAAGAUCAAUUCCAUGUUGUAAAAGCUAACCUGCUGUCCUGACAAAAAUGUUUGCAGUGGUGCUGCAAAUAUAUUUACCUUUCUAACUGUGUAUUUUUGAUGCCUCCUCCAGGUCUAUUUCUUAUGACCUAGAUUUUUUCCUCUAGUUUCUGAAGUUACUACCCUUUUGCUUUAUUUUUCAUAGCUGUUGUAACAAAACUAUACUAACUCCAAACCCCAACAUAUCUGGUUCAUUGGGUUUCUUAUCAAGUACUUUAGAAUAGCUUUUUGUGCACCAUUAACACCUGGCUUCGUUUCUUCAGUCUGAAACUGUGGCAGGCUACAGGGCUAGCAUCGCUUUGCAGCUGGCUCCACAACCCAGUGUAAAUCAAAGGAGUCAUUGUUCUAAGUCAGCGCUACAGCAAUGGUGGGCAAAUGGCAGGCAGCCCCCCUUGCUGUGGGCAUGUUGAGAACCUGUGUGCCUAAUAACAUUGUUCUGUGGACAUUCUCCCCUUUGCUGUACAUCUUUAAACUCUCAGACACUGAAUUGACUGUAACAUGUUGUUACUGUUUUUGCCUUUAUCCCAAAGAUAGCAGCACGACAGCUUGUGGUAACUGAGUCUCCUCACACCAAAGACUGGACAUUAUUGGUUAUUGCUUCUGCCCUGCUCUGUGGACAGUCCUGUGUAUUUGCUCUGUUUUACAGGCUGCUAUAGGUUUAACCUGUCCUAUGGACAAUACAGCUGCCUUUGUUAUUUGGAGGUGUUUCUGCAGGGAUCUGUGUCUUCAUUUCUCACAGAAGCUAAAAUCACAUAUCCUGGCAUCUUAAUAGGAGUCUCAUAUAUUUUCCAAGUUACAUAAUAGUACUAGAGUUUCCAGCUGUACUGUGUACUUCAAGAUGGGCAACAGUAGAAAACAUCAUAUUUAUAAAUAUUUGCUCUUUAUUAAAAUAUGUUUCAGCAAACAUUCUAGCCUGAGUUCAGGGAUCCUUCUCAAAAAUGGUUCCCUGUUGCAACCUGUGUUGUAUCCUGAGUACUAUAAAAAUUGUUAGGUAUGGCAAGAAUUCAGCAAAGAGGAAAGAUUUCCAAGAAGGAAUGUAAAUAUGCAAAAGAAAAGAAAAAGUGAGAUGAAUUAAAUAUAAGGAUUCCAGGUAAAGGCUGUGUAGCCGUUAUAAAACACACUGCUCUGAAGAAUGGGUCUGCCAGUCCCUGAAGUUCUCCACUAUCGUCAUCUGAUUGCUGGCUCGGAGGUGGUGGCAGAACUGCUCUGUUCCUGCACUCCUGAAGUGUACCUAAAAUGGAACUGGUCACCUGCCAGUGGAGAGAGCCAAUUAAUAUGUUCCUCUCAAAAGAUUUUCUAUUUAUGUAUAUUUUGGGAAAUAUACCUAUAGCUGCCCCUCUGAACAUGUUUAUUUAGUGUGCUAAAAAACUCACUGUGAUUGUAACUGUUACAUUAUGGUUCCAGAUAAUAUCAUGAAAGAAAUCAACGGUUCAAUGGUUUGCAUAUACUGUAAUUAAAUUUAGUCUGUUGAUGACAUCAAUGCUUGUGAAAAAGUCUUAAGCAGUUACCAUAGAAACAAAAUUUCCUCAAGUAGCACAGCAGUGGUGUGAUGUUGAGUGAGGAGUUCUAACAUUUCAUUUUUAAAUUAAACUGUACAGAUAACCAGUAGGAAACCACACAACCACCAAUUUAGUAUUAAAAUCUUGAUGAUCUCUAUUUUUCUGCAUUGAACAUCACCUCAGUGAUACUUGACCUAGCAGCUAGCAAGCAGCAUGUUGUGCAUUCCCAGCUCUCAAAGGUGCAGACUAAUAAAUGCUUUUCAGCUUGCAAAGCAACCUAUAGAGAUACCUAUGAGAGACCAGCUUCUCUCAUAGCAGUAAUCUAGCCUAGCAUUGUACCUUUUUAUAUGGGUUUAUUACAAUAUAAAAUAGAAAUUUAAUGUUAGUAACAAGAGAAUUUUCAAUUAACAAUACAAUAUAUUCUGUAGACCAAUAUGAAGUAUUCCUGAAAGCUGAUGUUAAGACACAUAUCAUAUGAAUGAAUUACUUUCAGGGCAAAUGGGAGCUGCUUAGUGGAUUACCAUGGUAACUGUAUUUAUACUAUAUACUUGACUACAGUUUUAAUUUUCUAAAAUCUGAUUUAUGGACUGGCUUGAAGAAUCAUUGUAUAAUUGUUUAUUCUUUAACAAGGCAAGAAAAUUGGUUGGUUUUACAAUCUUCUGUUCCAGCACUGUGUCAGGAUUUUCCGCUAUAUCCAAAAAAUUACUGUUUUUGUUUUUCCAGUGAUAAUCUCAACUCAAAAUCAUGAGCAAUUGAAAAGUAAAUGUCACAGAGUGUGUUUGUUUUCUCCCAAUUUCUUUUAGUGAAUUUAUGCUUCUUCAGCCACCUUAAUAUCAGAUUUGAUUAACACAAGGAUAAAUCUGGAAUUACAGCAGAUAUGACUAUCUUCUUCCUCGCCGUCUC